ensembl:misc_RNA Metazoa_SRP Metazoan signal recognition particle RNA
GCCGGGCGUGGUGGCGGGCGCCUGUAGUCCCAGCUACUCGGAGGCUGAGACAGGAGAAUGGCGUGAACCUGGGAGGCGGAGCUUGCAGUGAGCCGAGAUCGCACCACUGCACUCCAGCCUGGGUGACACAGCCAGACUCUGUCUCAA